rnacentral:rRNA from 1 species
UACGAAGGGGGCGAGCGUUGUUCGGAUUUACUGGGCGUAAAGGGCGCGCAGGCGGUCUUGAAAGUCAGGCGUGAAAGCCCCGGGCUCAACCUGGGAAUGGCCGUUGAAACUGGCGAACUGGAGUGUGGCAGAGGGGGGUGGAAUUCCGCGUGUAGCAGUGAAAUGCGUAGAGAUGCGGAGGAACACCGAUGGCGAAGGCAGCCCCCUGGGCUGACACUGACGCUCAGGCACGAAAGCGUGGGGAGCAAACGGG